GCGAUGGCCGAGUGGUUAAGGCGUUGGACUUAAGUUCCAAUGGACGUUGUCAGCGAUUUGC
rnacentral:tRNA from 1 species